rnacentral:lncRNA from 1 species
UAAGUGUGUCAUAUUUUGUAGGUGAGUAUCAGAAGACAUGUCCAAGAAAAGAGUGGAUGAAGGGAUGAUUAACCGCAAUGGAAAAGAAUGGAGUUAAUGGCAGUUGAGAAAAUUCAGUUAGAGGUGGGUGCUGCCAACCCAUUUUAUGGCAGAGCAUUCAGGAUGAUAUUACACUUGCAGCAGCAGACGCUUAUAAACCAAUUGGACAGUAAUAAUGAUCCCUUUCUCUGAAUGAAAGAGAAUAGGACUUUUGGAAGGUAGCAUUUGGAUCUUGGUGUCAGAAGGAAGAAAGGAAGAGAGAGACGAGAAUGAGAAUGGUCCUUGCAGAAAGUGGAAGCCUUAAUACCAUUCUUCAGAGAAAAGAGGAUGGAUCAAGUUCAAAUACAUGGAUGUUAAGCCCCAUGGAAGAACAAGGCAAACACGAUUAUCAAGAACCAUGUAAGGAAUCAAGUUCCAGCAGGCCAACACAGAUACAGGGAACAAGAGGCCUGCCAAAUGUGGAUCAAGGAGAUACAGCAUCCUAUUGGAACCGACCAGUAGUCUGAAAU